CCUGGAACAAUUUCUUUGGCUUCUAGGUCACCUUCUCCUUUGCUGGACUCACUGAUGCCCACAGGCUCUAUGUCACUCCCAACUAAGCACAACCAGUAUCCCUUGGAGACUGUUAGACUGUGGACUCUCAAGCCCUCCUCCAGGCCUGCUAAAUCAGAAUCUUCAGUUUCACAAGAUACCCAGCCUCAUGAGCUGCUUCUGUGACAGAUGCAAGCACCAAUCCCGGAAGAAAUUUGGGGGUUGCGCUACCUCAAAGUGGCAAUGUCUGAGAACUAUUAUUGCGAUGAUGACUUCUGGAAAUAACUCAAGAGAUAGCCAAAGGAGACUCUGAAAGCUGGUAAGAAGACCGCAAUAAGGGGUCCCCAAACAGGAGAAAGAGCACAACUGCAAGGCAUUUUGCAGGCCCUUCCCAACAGAAGAAGGUAACCCAGACUCAGUAUUUCCUGACCCCAAACCAAGCAAUACAAGGCAGCCUAGGUAGGUUCGUUCCUCCCUUAGAUUGAAAGGAAAUCCCUCUGAAAUCAGCCAAACACCAUCAGCAAAGGGAAUAGAGCUAGAGAUCCUGCUAACAAUAAGCAGCCAAGAAGUACUCUCCCUGCCAGGUGGGAGACUACCUUCCCCCAAAUACCAAGCUAGUAAGAGGAACUGGCAAGGGACCUCACCACAAGUAGUCUAACUGGAAAGGCUUUUUCACCCUGUGGGCCCUGCCCAGAGAUACCACAGCAGCUGGGGGUACCUGUAGGAGGAGUCUGCUACAACAGUGCCUGACUAAGAAGCUUCUCCACCUUCAUCUGUCUGAGAUUCCCCUUCCCCACUGAGAGACGUUGGGACAGUUAUCAAUGUCAGGAAUGAA